rnacentral:rRNA from 1 species
UGGGGAAUCUUACACAAUGGGGGAAACCCUGAUGUAGCAACGCCGCGUGGAGGAUGACGGAUCUAGGUCUGUAAACUCCUUUUAUAAGGGAAGAAAUUUGACGGUACCUUAUGAAUAAGCACCGGCUAACUCCGUGCCAGCAGCCGCGGUAAUACGGGGGGUGCAAGCGUUACUCGGAAUCACUGGGCGUAAAGGGAGCGUAAGCGUUUUAUUAAGUCUUGAGUGAAAGCUCGCAGCUCAACUGCGGAACUGCUCAGGAAACUGAUAGAAUUGAGUAUGGAAGAGGUCGGUGGAAUUUCUGGUGUAGGGGUUAAAUCCGUAGAUAUCGGAAGGAGUACCAGAAGCGAAGGCGACCUACUGGGACAUUACUGACGCUGAGGCUCGAAAGCGUGGGGAGCAAACA